rnacentral:rRNA from 1 species
GACGAACGCUGGCGGCGUGCCUAAUACAUGCAAGUUGAGCGCUGAAGGUUGGUACUUGUACCAACUGGAUGAGCAGCGAACGGGUGAGUAACGCGUGGGGAAUCUGCCUUUGAGCGGGGGACAACAUUUGGAAACGAAUGCUAAUACCGCAUAAAAACUUUAAACACAAGUUUUAAGUUUGAAAGAUGCAAUUGCAUCACUCAAAGAUGAUCCCGCGUUGUAUUAGCUAGUUGGUGAGGUAAAGGCUCACCAAGGCGAUGAUACAUAGCCGACCUGAGAGGGUGAUCGGCCACAUUGGGACUGAGACACGGCCCAAACUCCUACGGGAGGCAGCAGUAGGGAAUCUUCGGCAAUGGACGAAAGUCUGACCGAGCAACGCCGCGUGAGUGAAGAAGGUUUCGGAUCGUAAAACUCUGUUGGUAGAGAAGAACGUUGGUGAGAGUGGAAAGCUCAUCAAGUGACGGUAACUACCCAGAAAGGGACGGCUAACUACGUG